rnacentral:lncRNA from 1 species
UUUGUAUCGCUUUGGACACCCACGCGUUGACGGCGCGUGUGGUGGCGCGUGGGAUACUGUAGCAGUCAUGCAUUUGGUUACCGUUUGAGUCUCGGACGGAUUUUACCUAUUGUGCGAUUUCUGGGUUUGUUAUGUUCGGACCGUUGGAUCGAACUCAAACUGACGUAUGGUGUACCUUGUAUUUCUAGGAUCGUCUAGGAUUCGACGGAUCAUGGAUCGGAGUCCCGGAUACUCCGAAGUCGCAAACCCUAAGUCAAGAAUCUUAAUAAAAUUGUAUGUGCUUUCAAAUAUUCGUAUAUUUUAUUAAUUUGUAUGUGUAUUAAUGAAAUUGUGCAGAUGUCAGACUUGAUUAGACGUCGUAGGGCGGUGACAACUACACAAAGUUCGGAGCCCCCAGCUCAGCCGACAUCUGCUGCCACUACUCCAGCAUCUGCUGCCGUUGCGCCAGCACUAAUGGACCACUUGGCAGUUGGUCCUGCGGGGUCCCAAGCGCCUGCUUCAUCGGCUUCAUCAGUGGCGCCGCCAGGCGGCGUCAUCGGCCCGACAGCACCACCG